GGAGCUGAAAGUUGGUACGCUUGGAAUAACGCUACACAGAGUGGAGGAGAGCAGCAUUUUGUUCAGAGAUGGACACUGAUGUCUACCACCAAAGAGGCAGUGAGCCUAUGCAACGCUUUGCCACACAUUGCACGGCCAAUCUCUUCUGCAAAGGGGGACAAAGACUGAACCAGCAACACCAUGCUAGAGCCAGGAAACCCAUGCACAUACUUGGGGCAUGAAGGAGCCCAGCUAUUUCAGCCCUGUUGCCUCAUCCUUCAAGGGAUUUUUAACUUCCAAAAGAGCACAGAAAACCCCUUCCUUCCUCAUCCAUGGAUCUGCUGAUCUGCAGUAAAUACCAGCACUUUGGUAAGCAAAAAUGUUCAAAUUCUGGGAGAAGCAAGAUGCCUUAAAAUGAAAGCCAGGUACCAUACCUCUGCCCACCACCUCUCUUGAGAUGCCUUC